rnacentral:tRNA from 1 species
GGGCUGGGGCUCAGUGGUGGAGCACACGCCUUGCACGCAUGAGGCACUGGGUUCGAUCCUGAGCACCACA